rnacentral:rRNA from 1 species
UUACAAAGGGCGCAGGGCGGAUGCCUUGGCACCAGGAGCCGAAGAAGGACGUGAUAAGCUGCGAAAAGCUGCGGGGAGGAGCAAAUAUCCAUUGAUCCGCAGGUAUCCGAAUGGGGAAACCCGGCAGAAAGAACUUCUGUCACCGUAUGAUGAAUCCAUAGUCAUACGGAGGGAACCCGGCGAACUGAAACAUCUAAGUAGCCGGAGGAAGAGGAAGAAACAUCGAAUCCCUAAGUAGUGGCGAGCGAAAGGGGACGAAGCCCAAACCAAGGAUUUAUCCUUGGGGUUGAGGACCACAUACGAAGAAGCAGUAGGUAGCAGAACGGUUUUGGGAAAGCCGGCCAAAGAGAGUGAAAGCCUCGUAUGCGAAACAGACUGUGAUUCAGUGGUAUCCGGAGUACUACGGGACACGAGAAACCCCGUAGGAAGCAGGGGGGACCACCCCCCAAGGCGAAAUACUACCUGGUGACCGAUAGAGUAUAGUACCGUGAGGGAAAGGUGAAAAGAACCCCGGGAGGGGAGUGAAAGAGAACCUGAAACCCUGUGUCUACAAGCUGCGGAAGAGCGACUAACGCUCGACCGUGUACUUUUUGUAGAACGGUCCGGCGAGUUGCCGUUGCUGGCAGGUUAAGUACUUAAGGUACGGAGCCGAAGGGAAACCAAGUCUUAACAGGGCGGUAAGUCAGUAACGGCAGACCCGAAACCGGGUGACCUACCCAUGGCCAGGAUGAAGUCUGCGUAAAAGUGGAUGGAGGUCCGAACACACGUCUGUUGAAAAAGGCGGUGAUGAGCUGUGGGUAGCGGAGAAAUUCCAAUCGAACUCGGAGAUAGCUGGUUCUCCCCGAAAUAGCUUUAGGGCUAGCCUCGGUAUAGUCUAAUGGAGGUAGAGCACUGAAUCGCUGCGGGGGCGUCAAAGUCUACCAAUGCGUAUCAAACUCCGAAUGCCAUAUAGAUGUUUACCGGGAGUCAGACUGUAUGAGAUAAGUCGGACAGUCAAAAGGGAAACAGCCCAGACCAUCUGCUAAGGUCCCAAAGUGUAUGUUAAGUGGUAAAGGAUGUGGGGUUUCGAAGACAACUAGGAUGUUGGCUCAGAAGCAGCCAUUCAUUCAAAGAGUGCGUAAUAGCUCACUAGUCGAGAGGUCCUGCGCCGAAAAUGUCCGGGGCUGAAACAUAACACCGAAGCAAUGGAAUAUACCGUAAGGUAUGUUGGUAGGGGAGCAUUGAUAACACGAAGAAGCGGUACCGUAAGGAGCCGUGGAGGGUUAUCAAGAGAGAAUGCCGGAAUGAGUAGCGAGAUGAAGGUGAGAAUCCUUCAGGCCGUAUAUCCAAGGUUUCCAGGGUAAAGCUGAUCUUCCCUGGGGAAGUCGGGACCUAAGCUCAGGCUGAGAAGCGUAGGCGAUGGACAACUGGUUGAUAUUCCAGUACCUCUGGCUAUCAGAAAUGUGGGGACACGGAGAUUCAGGGAGUGCCUGUAAAGGAUUCAGGUGCAAGCAUGGUUUAUGCCGGGCAGGCAAAUCCGUCCGGGUAAGUGAACUGUGUGAUGCGGACCGAAAUAUAAGUAGGGAAGCUCCUGGGAGAGCCGUCGAGAAAAGCCGCUAUUGUGUAGUCAGAGCCCGUACCGUAAACCGACACAGGUGGAUGGGGAGAGUAUCCCAAGGCCGGCGGGAGAAGCAUUGUUAAGGAACUCGGCAAAAUGGCCCCGUAAGUUCGCGAUAAGGGGUGCCUGUAGAGAUACAGGCCGCAGAGAAUAGGCUCAAGCAACUGUUUAGCAAAAACACAGGUCUAUGCGAAACCGUAAGGUGAUGUAUAUGGGCUGACGCCUGCCCGGUGCUGGAAGGUUACGGGGAGUGCUUAGGAGCAAUCCGAAGGUACGAACUUAAGCCCCAGUAAACGGCGGCCGUAACUAUAACGGUCCUAAGGUAGCGAAAUUCCUUGUCGGGU